rnacentral:rRNA from 1 species
UCGGGAAUUUUGGGCAAUGGGGGAAACCCUGACCCAGCAACGCCGCGUGAGUGAAGAAGGCCUUCGGGUUGUAAAGCUCUUUUGUCAGGGAAGAAACGGUAGUAGCGAAUAACUAUUACUAAUGACGGUACCUGAAGAAUAAGCACCGGCUAACUACGUGCCAGCAGCCGCGGUAAUACGUAGGGUGCAAGCGUUAAUCGGAAUUACUGGGCGUAAAGCGUGCGCAGGCGGUUGUGUAAGUCAGAUGUGAAAUCUCCGGGCUUAACUCGGAACGGCCAAGUGAUACUGCAAAGCUAGAGUGCAGAAGGGGCAAUCGGAAUUCUUGGUGUAGCGGUGAAAUGCGUAGAUAUCAAGAGGAACACCUGAGGUGAAGACGGGUUGCUGGGCUGACACUGACGCUGAGGCGCGAAAGCCAGGGGAGCAAACGGGAUUAGAUACCCACGUAGUCCCUGAGCGGGCUGGCAAGGCGCAU